GACGAACGCUGGCGGCGCGCUUAACACAUGCAAGUCGAGCGAGAACCAGGACUUCGGUCCUGGGGACAGCGGCGAACGGGUGAGUAACACGUGGAUAGCCUGCCCUCGGCACCGGUAUAGCCCGAGGAAACUCGGAUUAAUACCGGAUAGCCCUUCCGACUCUCGAGUCGGUCCGAAAAGGUAGCUUCGGCCUCUGGCCGAGGAUGGGUCCGCGGCGGAUUAGCUUGUUGGUGGGGUAACGCCUACCAAGGCAUCGAUCCGUAGCUGGUCUGAGAGGACGAUCAGCCACACUGGGACUGAGACACGGCCCAGACUCCUACGGGAGGCAGCAGUGGGGAAUCUUGCGCAAUGGGCGAAAGCCUGACGCAGCGACGCCGCGUGAGGGAAGAAGGCC
rnacentral:rRNA from 1 species